rnacentral:tRNA from 2 species
GUGCCACAAGCUCAACUGGCAGAGCAUCGGGCCGUUAACCCGAGGGGUCAGGGUUCGAAUCCCUGGUGGCACG